CCUAGGGCGGCUGCAGUGGGGAAUAUUGGACAAUGGGCGAAAGCCUGAUCCAGCCAUGCCGCGUGUGUGAAGAAGGCCUUCGGGUUGUAAAGCACUUUCAGUGGGGAAGAAAGCCUUGGGGCUAAUACCCUCGAGGAAGGACAUCACCCACAGAAGAAGCACCGGCUAACUCCGUGCCAGCAGCCGCGGUAAUACGGAGGGUGCGAGCGUUAAUCGGAAUUACUGGGCGUAAAGCGCGCGUAGGCGGUCUGAUAAGCCGGUUGUGAAAGCCCCGGGCUCAACCUGGGAACGGCAUCCGGAACUGUCAGGCUAGAGUGCAGGAGAGGAAGGUAGAAUUCCCGGUGUAGCGGUGAAAUGCGUAGAGAUCGGGAGGAAUACCAGUGGCGAAGGCGGCCUUCUGGACUGACACUGACGCUGAGGUGCGAAAGCGUGGGUAGCAAACAGGAUUAGAUACCCGAGUAGUC
rnacentral:rRNA from 1 species